rnacentral:rRNA from 1 species
CCUACGGGGGGCAGCAGUGGGGAAUAUUGGACAAUGGGGGGAACCCUGAUCCAGCCAUGCCGCGUGUGUGAAGAAGGCCCUCGGGUUGUAAAGCACUUUCAGUGAGGAAGAACGCCUGGUGGUUAAUACCCAUCAGGAAAGACAUCACUCACAGAAGAAGCACCGGCUAACUCCGUGCCAGCAGCCGCGGUAAUACGGAGGGUGCGAGCGUUAAUCGGAAUUACUGUGCGUAAAGCGCGCGUAGGUGGCUUGAUAAGCCGGUUGUGAAAGCCCCGGGCUCAACCUGGGAACGGCAUCCGGAACUGUCAAGCUAGAGUGCAGGAGAGGAAGGUAGAAUUCCCGGUGUAGCGGUGAAAUGCGUAGAGAUCGGGAGGAAUACCAGUGGCGAAGGCGGCCUUCUGGACUGACACUGACACUGAGGUGCGAAAGCGUGGGUAGCAAACAGGAUUAGAUACCCUGGUAGUC